UUAGAAAUUGGCAGUGUUGAAAUUCAAACCCAGAUUUGAUAAGUUUGUUUUUUUCUACCAAAAGACACUGACCAUCAAACAGUAUUUUCUAAAACCUACUUUAUUCCCUUUUGUCAAUAGGAUUUCCCUGCUUACAUCUUCAAAAUCCUUAGAAAUUCCAGAUAUGCUAUGAUAAUGAUAAUUUUAUAAUGUCUCCCUUAAUUGUCAGACACAAGUGUUUCAAAAUCUUAGAAAUGUGAGGGAGAGAAUAAAGGGAGGAAGUAGAGAGUAAACUCUAAGAAUAUCUGCUUGGGACAAGUGAAUUCAGAUGUGGUUUGCAAAUUAUUAAUAUUAGUGGGAUUUAAUCUAGUUUAGUCAGGAUUAGGUUCCACAUUAAGUCAGAGCAUAGGAAAUGGCAGGGGUGGAGGGGUGGAGGUGGGGCUUAGUUCAAAGCAGUUAGCAAGGCUUUGAUAGGCUCUGAUCCAGUGACAGAGGUAAUAGCUCAAGGUAAGGCUCACUGGAAAAGAUAGGAUGUCAGGCCCCUGGUGAACUGAGUAGGCAACCAUCCAUCAACAGGACAAAAGCAGAAGGAAGGAGAAAUGCAAUGGAGCUACAGAAGUGACCACCCUCCUUCUCAGGACUCUGAAAUCUGGAUCCAGGCUCCAUCACACAGUUGGAAAGACUUGGGAAUUCAGAUGGCAUUUGAGAAGUAUAUCAGAAAAUCACAUUUGAAAAAAAAGAAAAUCACAUUUGAAAUUAUAUUCUUCAUUGGAAGCUCCCUCUGGAACUAUGUCCUCAUGUUGUGAAAUUCAAAACUAUCCAAAGAAGUUGUGUGCCGUGGAUUGCAAAUUUUUCACAUAACUUGCUGUCUUCGCUAUUUUUUAAAAUAAUAUUGAGGAUAUUGACUUGCUGACUUCACUAUUUUUUAAAACAAUAUUGAAAUAUCACAUAACUUAUUAACUGAAAUCAAUAUAGCAUUUCCGUAGAGAAUGGGAAUUUAUGCCAUCUUAAUACAUCCUGAGGAAUAAAGCUUUUUAAAAAAUAUUAAGUCAGACAGAGAAAGACAGUACUGUAUGGUACCAAUUAUAUGUGAAAUCUAAAAAAGUCAAACCUGUAAAAGAUUGAGAGUAAAUCAAUGCCCAGAAGUCAGUGGCAUUUCUAUACACUAACAAUGAGACUGAAGAAAGAGAAAUUAAGGAGUCAAUCCCAUUUAUAAUUGCACCCAAAAGCAUAAGAUACCUAGGAAUAAACCUAACCAAAGAGGUAAAGGAUCUAUACCCUCAAAACUAUAGAACACUUCUGAAAGAAAUUGAGGAAGACACAAAGAGAUGGAAAAAUAUUCCAUGCUCAUGGAUUGGCAGAAUUAAUAUUGUGAAAAUGUCAAUGUUACCCAGGGCAAUUUACACGUUUAAU
rnacentral:lncRNA from 1 species